rnacentral:rRNA from 1 species
GACGAACGCUGGCGGCGUGCUUAACACAUGCAAGUCGAACGAAGCUUGAUUACGGAUUCUUCGGAUGAAGUAUGAUAUGACUGAGUGGCGGACGGGUGAGUAACGCGUGAGUAACCUGCCCUUCAGAGGGGGAUAGCGUUUGGAAACGAACGGUAAUACCGCAUAAUGUAUUUUGACCGCAUGAUCGAAAUCCCAAAGAUUUAUCGCUGAAGGAUGGACUCGCGUCUGAUUAGGUAGUUGGUGGGGUAACGGCCUACCAAGCCGACGAUCAGUAGCCGGACUGAGAGGUUGAUCGGCCACAUUGGGACUGAGACACGGCCCAGACUCCUACGGGAGGCAGCAGUGGGGAAUAUUGCACAAUGGGCGCAAGCCUGAUGCAGCAACGCCGCGUGAAGGAAGACGGUUUUCGGAUUGUAAACUUCUGUUCUUAGUGAAGAAUAAUGACGGUAGCUAAGGAGCAAGCCACGGCUAACUACGUG